AACGUAGGACGCAAGCGUUAUCCGGAGUUACUGGGCGUAAAGGGCAGGCAGGCGGGUCGAUAAGUCGGAUGUGAAAUCUCCCUGGCUUAACCGGGAGAGUGCAUUUGAGACUGUCAACCUGGAGGGCAGCAGAGGAGCGUGGAAUUCCGGGUGGAGUGGUGAAAUGCGUAGAGAUCCGGAGGAACACCAGGAGGCGAAAGCGGCGCUCUGGGCCAACACUGACACUGAGGCACGAAAGCGUGGGGAGCAAACAGGG
rnacentral:rRNA from 1 species